rnacentral:rRNA from 1 species
UGGCUUCCAUCUGAGAAUCUGGAGACAGUGCUGCAUGGCUGUCGUCAGCUCGUGUCGUGAGAUGUUGGGUUAAGUCCCGCAACGAGCGCAACCCUUGCCUUUAGUUGCCAGCAGUUCGGCUGGGCACUCUAAAGGGACUGCCGGUGUUAAACCGGAGGAAGGUGGGGAUGACGUCAAGUCCUCAUGGCCUUUAUGACCAGGGCUACACACGUACUACAAUGGCCGAUACAAAGGGCAGCGACACUGCGAGGUGAAGCCAAUCCCGUAAAAUCGGUCUCAGUCCGGAUUGGAGUCUGCAACUCGACUCCAUGAAGUUGGAAUCGCUAGUAAUCGUGGAUCAGCAUGCCACGGUGAAUACGUUCCCGGGCCUU